rnacentral:rRNA from 1 species
AGAGUUUGAUCCUGGCUCAGGACGAACGCUGGCGGCACGCUUAACACAUGCAAGUCGAACGAGAGAAGAGGAGCUUGCUUUUCUGAUCUAGUGGCGGACGGGUGAGUAACACGUGAGCAAUCUGCCUUUCAGAGGGGGAUACCGAUUGGAAACGAUCGUUAAUACCGCAUAACAUAAUUGAACCGCAUGAUUUGAUUAUCAAAGAUUUAUCGCUGAAAGAUGAGCUCGCGUCUGAUUAGCUAGUUGGUAAGGUAACGGCUUACCAAGGCGACGAUCAGUAGCCGGACUGAGAGGUUGAUCGGCCACAUUGGGACUGAGACACGGCCCAGACUCCUACGGGAGGCAGCAGUGGGGAAUAUUGCACAAUGGAGGAAACUCUGAUGCAGCGAUGCCGCGUGAGGGAAGAAGGUUUUAGGAUUGUAAACCUCUGUCUUCAGGGACGAAAAAAGACGGUACCUGAGGAGGAAGCUCCGGCUAACUACGUGCCAGCAGCCGCGGUAAUACGUAGGGAGCGAGCGUUGUCCGGAAUUACUGGGUGUAAAGGGAGCGUAGGCGGGAUCGCAAGUCAGAUGUGAAAACUAUGGGCUUAACCCAUAAACUGCAUUUGAAACUGUGGUUCUUGAGUGAAGUAGAGGUAAGCGGAAUUCCUAGUGUAGCGGUGAAAUGCGUAGAUAUUAGGAGGAACAUCAGUGGCGAAGGCGGCUUACUGGGCUUUAACUGACGCUGAGGCUCGAAAGCGUGGGGAGCAAACAGGAUUAGAUACCCUGGUAGUCCACGCCGUAAACGAUGAUUACUAGGUGUGGGGGGACUGACCCCUUCCGUGCCGCAGCAAACGCAAUAAGUAAUCCACCUGGGGAGUACGACCGCAAGGUUGAAACUCAAAGGAAUUGACGGGGGCCCGCACAAGCAGUGGAGUAUGUGGAUUAAUUCGAAGCAACGCGAAGAACCUUACCAGGUCUUGACAUCGUAUGCAUAGCUCAGAGAUGAGUGAAAUCUCUUCGGAGACAUAUAGACAGGUGGUGCAUGGUUGUCGUCAGCUCGUGUCGUGAGAUGUUGGGUUAAGUCCCGCAACGAGCGCAACCCUUACUGUUAGUUGCUACGCAAGAGCACUCUAGCAGGACUGCCGUUGACAAAACGGAGGAAGGUGGGGAUGACGUCAAAUCAUCAUGCCCCUUAUGACCUGGGCCUCACACGUACUACAAUGGCUGUCAACAGAGGGAAGCAAAGCCGCGAGGUGGAGCGAACCCCUAAAAGCAGUCUUAGUUCGGAUUGUAGGCUGCAACCCGCCUACAUGAAGUCGGAAUUGCUAGUAAUCGCAGAUCAGCAUGCUGCUGUGAAUACGUUCCCGGGCCUUGUACACACCGCCCGUCACGCCAUGGGAGUCGGUAACCCCCGAAGCCUGUAGUCUAACCGCAAGGAGGACGCAGUCGAAGGUGGGAUUGAUGACUGGGGUGAAGUCGUAACAAGGUA